UACAACAAAAGCAAGUGGCUGUCUGGAUAUUUGCCACCAUCACAGAGGUUUCAGGGCUUAGCAGAACCUUUUGAAACUUGAUCUAAAAUCUCUAAAUCUUGAAUAAGUGACUCUGGAAUCAGGGUUCUUCAUAGCAUCCUGUGAUUCUUCCCAUUAUGUGGAUGAACAGGCUGCUGUAAUGGCUAGAAGUAUCAAAAUACAGAGCACCAGCAUUACACUGCAUGAUUUCUGUUCGAAAUGAAGUAAUUUUUGUUUUCUCUUUUCUUGUGUUGCUUCCUCAGUUGCAAUCUCUAUGCAAGAUUAUUUAUAUUCAUUUAAAUUCAAAAUACCGUCCUGCUCAGAGAAACUCAUCUAACUUCAGCUGCCUCAAUAGGCAGCAAAGUGUCAAUUUAAACUGUGCUCAAAGCUGAGCCUGCUGAGGUGCUGCACAGGAGGGAGGUCUGGGGCUGCGCUCCUCUCUCAGUUCCUGUCCCCUCCAGCAUCUGAGGAGUUAAACCCACACACCAUUGGUGCACAUUUCUGAGUCCCAAGUGGAAAAGGUCCCACCCCAGGUGUUAAAAACCCUGCAUCCUUCAAAGACACCUACAGAGUGUUGUCAGGGGUGAGAGCAAGUGAAAGCAGCAAUAAACAUUCCUCCCGUGCUGGUGAGGAAAUUGAUUCCGAACAUCCUGCAACUACACGUUUUAAAGAACUUUGCAAAGUUAAAUGAAAAGAAAGUCUCUUCCAGGAUUGCUAAUUAUUAAUUUUUCCUGUGAGGGCAGUGAUGCUGAGAGCAGCACACAGUAUCUUACUGUCAGAGGAAGAUGCAGACAGUGGGAUUAUCAUUUCCCUUUGCUCAUGCAACACUGACAGCCGACACAACUCCCUUGACAGACCACACAAAACUUCUACUUCAAUCUCAGCAUCAAAAAGUCACAGUGAACCGUAGGGUCUGAAAUGAACUUUGUGCAGAAGUCUCCUUGCCUGCUGCCCCCCUCGCUGAUGGUCCUGCAGCACCCACCCCUGUGUGAGUCCUUCUGCCCAGGAGUGUCCAGCUGGUUUGUGCAGGCCUGUUAAAUGUGUUUGGCUUUGGAUCAGGACAGAAUGGAGUUCUCUUGCAGGAUUUCCAAGAUUUUUAUCCCUUAAGUUUGAUGAAAUGAACUCAUGAGAACCACUCAGAAGGCUGUUUGGAAGAGAGAAGUGUUUUCAGUGAAGCUACAAACAGGAAACCACCGGUGUCCAGAUAAGAUAUUAAAAAUUUAAAACUGUCCAAGCACCUCAUCCCCAGAAGGACAAGGAUCAUUUCAGGUGCAGUUUUUGACUUCCAUGCUUGCUGUUUCCCUGUGAGUUCUCAGGCCUGUCCAAACAUUUCUUCUCAGUUUGGGGCUGGGAAUUCCCACUGUCAGGCCCAGAUGAGAGGCUGGGACUGAGCCUUGAGCUGCUGGUCCUGUUAAAGAUCUGAGGACUGCAGUCCCAGAGAGGAGGUUUUGUGUUCUCAGCUGCUGAGACUGGAUCCCCUCCCUGUAAAGCAGUAACAAAUACAAUCCCAGCACUAAGGACAGCAGAAAUACUCUAAAAUCCAGGAUCCACCUGUUCUCUGGCCCACAAAACUUAGAAAAAAAAUUUAAUGGCUUGCCUUCACCAGAG